rnacentral:rRNA from 1 species
GGUCAGCCUGCCCAGUGAUAUAAUUCAACGGCCGCGGUACCCUAACCGUGCGAAGGUAGCAUAAUCACUUGUUCUUUAAAUAAGGACUUGUAUCAACGGCAUCACGAGGACUGUACUGUCUCCUUUCUCCAAUCAGUGAAACUGAUCUCCCCGUGAAGAAGCGGGGAUUAACCUAUAAGACGAGAAGACCCCAUGGAGCUUAAAGCCCACACAACUCUAUGCAUUUAAAUCAAUAUAGCCCAAGAAACCUGCAAACGGCUUUAGGUUGGGGGGACCGCGGAGUAAAACCUAACCUCCACGACAAACGGGCAUACGCCCUUAUCCAAGAAUGACAAUUCUAAGAAUCAAUAAACUGAUGUUUAAUGACCCGAUUAUUCGAUCAACGAACCAAGUUACCCUGGGGAUAACAGCGCAAUCUACUUCAAGAGCCCCUAUCAACAAGUAGGUUUACGACCUCGAUGUUGGAUCAGGGUAUCCUAGUGGUGCAGCCGCUACUAAAGGUUCGUUUGUUCAACGAUUAAAACCCUACGUGAUCUGAU